UCUCCUGUGACUGACGCUUACUCAAAGUGCCCCAAAGGAAAAAAUAAUAAUAAUAACCUAGAGUUGCAAUUUAUCUUCACAAGGUCAGCCUAUGCAAGCACAACCUUCGGGUGUCUGGUCAAGUGAAUUUCAACCUUGCUGUGUUAAGCUUCAUCCCCCUGGUACUCAGCACUGAGACCCACUAGGAAUUCAUCUCUCCUUCUUCCUGCCUCAGAAAGUGACACACUUUGUGCAGAUCCUGUAAACAAAUGCUGGCCUUGCAGUUCUCUAAAACAAGCAUCUCUGAGAGUCAUCAAAGUCCAGUGGCAAGACAAAAGUCAAGAGGAUUGGCAAUGGCCAGGAUGCAGCGGAUGACGUUGUGUCUUUAAUGUCUGACCAAGUUCUAAGCACCCACUUUAGCUGCCUUCCUGGCUGUUGGAACAAAUUGUUCUCACCUGCCCAUUCUGCCAGGAUUCAAAGUAUGAAAGAAUAUAAAGUUUUAUCCUAAUCACUAAAUAAAGAAGUGAUGGGGAACAGAGGUCAAAUCCGAUCACAACCAACUUCAAGAGGCUGUAAGAAUUCUUUUGUUGUAAUGAAAUUGUGCUGGAAAUUUGGUCUGCAAGAACUAGACUGUAAGUUAGGGGUUUAGAAUGUUUUUUCCAACAGAUUUUCAUUGUUAUGGUAUUUUUUUAAUCAUGGUUUUUUUUGUAAUUAAAUUAGGUAUCAUCAACAUUUCAA